CAUACACAACCUGGAAAGAAGCAGAAAUUAUCAUUUGAUGAAGAAGAAUAUGAUGAUAUUUAAUUUUUGUAAUAGGAAAGGGCCGUACCUUGCCCGAGGAUGCGAUACCCUUAAUCAUGCACAUGUACACGAGAAUCCAAGCAAUGAUCAGCGCUAGAGCGAUCUUCCAAUUGAACACUUCCGGCGUAUCGAUAUCUUUGGAUAUCAUUAGGGUGGUUCGAUACCAGAAAUACUGUGUUGGACUGCUGACCUAUUGAUCGAUUAUCAAGUUACAUACAAACUUAUUAAUUUUUAUAUAAAUGCGACAAGAUGAAACAUUAAUUAUAAAUGGAUUCUUACCUGAACGAAAUAGAAGAGGCACCAGGCAAUAAUAGUAUUAUAAUAAAGAGCCACAUUGAAGGAGACUAUGGCGCUGCUGAUUCCGAUACCCCCCAUAUACGGGGAUACCUUUUCGCGCCUUUUCUCAAUCUUUGGCCGAUUGCCAAUUCCAAAUAAAAUAUAGGAAUACCCUCGAUGGCCAGCAUCACGAAAUAAGGAAUUAGAAAAGCAC